rnacentral:lncRNA from 1 species
AUGCAUACCUUUAUUUCUUUAGCAAAUACAACACCACCACCUGAAAAUUCUACGACAGCACCUGCAAAUACAACAGCAGUGCCUACAACACCACCACCAUCAAAUACAACAGCAGAGCCUACAACACCACCACCAUCAAAUACAACAGCAGAGCCUACAACACCACCACCUUCAAAUACAACAGCAGAGCCUACAACACCACCACCUUCAAAUACAACAGCAGAGCCUACAACACCACCACCUUCAAAUAUAACAGCAGAGCCUACAACAAUGGCAGAGCCUACAACACCACCUACAAAUUCAACACCACCACCUUCAAAUACAACAGCAGAGNCUACAACACCACCCCCUUCAAAUACAACAGCAGAGCCUACAACACCACCACCUUCAAAUACAACAGCGGUGCCUACAACAAUGGCAGAGCCUACAACACCACCACCAUCAAAUACAACAGCAGAGCCUACAACACCACCACCAUCAAAUACAACAGCAGAGCCUACAACACCACCACCUUCAAAUACAACAGCAAAGCCUACAACAACAGCAGAGCCUACAACACCACCUGCAAAUUCAACACCACCACCUUCAAAUACAACAGCAAAGCCUACAACACCACCUGCAAAUUCAACACCACCACCUUCAAAUACAACAGCAGAGCCUACAACAACAGCAGAGCCUACAACACGACCACCUUCAAGUACAACAGAAGUGCCUACCGCAAUGGCAGGGCUUACAACAACAACAACAACAACAACAACAGCAGCAGUAAAGGACUUCAUUGACACUUUUACCAUGAACAUGGACUUCAAAGCAGAAUUCAAUAAUCCAGAUAAUAAAGUUUACAAAGACGUCUUAAAUGCCAUACAAGGAAAGUGUCAGACCAUUGUUGCAAAUUGUAAAGUGGCCACUCUCUCCUUCAGGUAAGUGCAAGAUUAUGGUAUUUUUAGAUAUUCCAUACAAGUAUGUUUGAUUUUGUUAAUGAAAUAUUUUUUAAAAAAGAACAAACGCCAUCCUUCUGUUGAUCUCCACCUUCCUCCUUCCUUCACGUUUGUUGGAAACAAGCUUGUGCUUGAUCCCACACUAAUGGGAUAAUACUUUCAAAGUCCUGCAAGGACAAGAACCACCUUGCUCGUUCUUUUUUCAUGGUUCAGCUAUUUACUGGCCCUCCUUUCCUGUACUUUAUACAUUUAUAUGCUAUAGAAAUGAUAUUUUCUUCUUCUUCUUUACCCAGAGGCUUAGGAUUGUGAUUUUCCUUUAGUUUCCCUUUAGGAACACACCCUCUGGUCCCAUAGCCGUCGGCUUGUUGUACAAGGACUGUAUGAACNUUGCUAAGCUGAGUCCCAUUCUGUCCCGCUCUGAACUUGAGACAGUUCUCCACACCUUCAUCUCCUCACGCUUAGACUACUGUAACUCUCUUUUCACGUGUCUGAGCAGAACCUCCCUGAACCGUCUACAGGUGGUUCAGAACGCCUGUGCUCGGCUUCUGACCAAGUCCUCCAAACACACCCACAUCACCCCGCUUCUCCUCCAGCUUCACUGGCUGCCAGUCAACUUCAGGGUUCAUUUCAAGAUCCUGGUUCUGGUCUAUAGGGCCUUACAUGGACAAGCACCAUCUUACAUUGGUGAUCUUCUUAGUCCCUACACCCCCAGCAGGUCCCUGAGGUCCAGUGAUCAAAGCCUACUGGUUGUGCAGCACCAGGCUAAAGGUCAAAGGUGACAGAUCAUCUGCUGCUGUGGCCCCCAGACUCUGGACCUCUCUCCCCCUGAGCCUGAGAUCAGUGGACUCAGUGGUCUCCUUUAAAAAGCAGCUGAAGACUCACUUGUUCAAGCUGGCUUUUGUAUGACCUUCUUCACCUCUCUCUCUUUAUUCUGCUCUCCCCACCUAUUCCACCUUCCUCAGGAUCCACUGGUUUCCCUCUUUCCUGUUCACUCUCUCUCUUUCUUUAUUAACAGUUUUUCUUUUAAAUCACAAUUGCCUAUUUUUGCUCAUUUUAAACAUAUUUUUAAACAUUUUCUAAAUGCUUUUUUAAAUGUUAAUUUUUUUUUGUUUUUGUGAACCGCCUCGUGAUUUUUAUCUUGAGAGGCGCUAUAGACAUGAUAUUUUCUUCUUCUUCUUCUUCUUCUUCUUAAUAAACGAGUCUUGAAAAUGAAACCUCUGCAACACGCUGUAUAGAAACCCCCAUCCCACAGAAUCAAAUGCUUUCUCCGCAUCUAUUCCUACCAGUAAUAUUUCUAUCUGAUUUUUAAUUGUGUGUUGUAUUACAUGUAAGGAGCGCCUUAUAUUGUCUUGCAUUUGUCUAUAUAAAUAAACUUUACUUACUUACUUGCCUACAUUAUGUUCACAGCAAAAAUGUUGACAGAGGAGAACAUUAUCCGUCUGCCUGGAUGGAUGUUAAC